CAAGUCGUACGCGAACGACCUUUCGGGGUUAAGUAGAGUGGCGAACGGGUUAGUAACGCGUGGGAACAUACACAGCACAGGGGGAUAACCAUUGGAAACGAUGGCUAAUACCGCAUACGCCCUAUUGGGGAAAGAUUUAUCGGUGUUGGAUUGGCCCGCGUUAGAUUAGCUAGUUGGUGGGGUAAUGGCUCACCAAGGCGACGAUUUAUAGCUGGUUUGAGAGGAUGAUCAGCAACACUGGAACUGAGACACGGUCCAGACUCCUACGGGAGGCAGCAGUCGGGAAUAUUGUGCAAUGGGGGCAACCCUGACACAGCCAUGCCGCGUGAGUGAAGAAGGCCUUAGGGUUGUAAAGCUCUUUCAGAUGUGAGGAUGAUGACGAUAGCAUCAGAAGAAGCUCCGGCUAACUUCGUGCCAGCAGCCGCGGUAAUAC
rnacentral:rRNA from 1 species